UCAGCAAUAAUUACAUUAGAGAACCAGUAACUAACUUACCUUUUCUUAUUUAAAGGCACCUGAAUUAGUUGGUAUCAAGGCGCUGCAACAUUUAUAUUUAUUGAAAUAUAAUUUACAUAAAAUAGAAUACACACAUCUUGGGUGUUGCAGUGAGUUUUGACAACUGUAUAAACCCAUGUAACAUUUGUCUGUGUCACAAAGAAUGGACUGGAAGGAAGCAAGACCGGAGGACAUUCAAAUGAUGAUGUCUGCAAGACACAUAUCUGGAGCUCAAGAGAGAAAAUACUUGAAUGGAGAUAUAAAUUUGCUCAUCAUCAGCAAAUAUAUGGUUAUUGAAAGAUAGCAGUGGAUAAAAUUGCCUGCAAAGAGCAGGACUUCCCUGGUGGCGCAGUGGUUAAGAAUCUGCCUGCCAAUGCAAGGGACAUGGGUUUGAGCCCUGGCCUGGGAAGAUCCCAAAUGCCCGCGGAGCAACUAAGCCUGUGCGCCACAACUGCUGAUCCUGCUCUCUAGAGCCGGCAAGUCACAACUACUGAGCUCACAAGCCACAACUACUGAGCCCAUGAGCCACAACUACUGAAGCCCACACGCUCCUAGAGCCCGUGCUCCGCAACAAGAGAAGCCACGACAAUGAGAAGCCCACGCACAGCAACGAAGACCCAACACAGCCAAAAAUAAUAAAUAAAUAAAUAAAUUUAUUUCAAAAAAUAAAAAAGAAAAUGUUAUAGCAGCAGGUGGUUGCCAAAUCUUUCCAAUGGGACAAUGAAGCCAGGCUGUGGAGAUCUGCAGUGCCUAUUCAAUUAAACAGGAUUAUUUUAUAGUUUAACAAGGGAAUAGGCAUCCAGGUAUGGUAUUUUAAAGUAAAAUUAACUGGAAUACUCCUCCACAUUUCUGCUGGAGUUAUCUUUCUCAGAGAUCUGAUCAAGCACUUCUGCUUUAAAAUCUUUAAUGACCAACUACAGGAGACACCUAAUCUUUGAAUAGGUUAGAAAUACUAAUCUGAUUUCAUGUACUUUCUUAAUCUCAUCUCCCAUUUUUUUUAUCAAGAUACAAUUGACGUACAGCACUACAUAAAUUUAAGAUGUACAGCAUAAUGAUUUGACUUACGUACAUCAUGAAAUAGUUACCACAAUAGUUACCAUCUCAUUUUCCUGUGAUGAGAAUUUUUAGGAUUUACUUUCUUAACAAUUUAUAUAUAAUACAUACUUUCUUGACAGUUUUAUAUAUUAUAUAUUAUAUAUAUAUUUGUAUAUAAUAUACAGUUAUAUAUAUAAUAUACAUGUGUUAAUUAUAUCAGUCGUGUUGUACAUUACAUUCCUAGUACUUAUUUAUCUUAUAGCUGGAAAUUCGUGUGUUUGACCAUCUUCAUCCAAUUCCUCCUUCCCCCACCACCACCUCUGGUAACCAUAAAUCUGAUCUUUUUUUCUAUGAGUUUGUUUGUUUUUGAAGUAUGAAGGAUCUACAACACUACGUUAUUUCCUGGUACACAACACAGUGAUUCAGUAUUUCUGUACAUUUCAAGAUGAUCAUUAGGAUAAAUCUAGUUUCCCUCUGUCGCCAUGCAAAGUUAUUACAUAAUUAUUGACUAUAUUCCCACACUAUACAUUUCAUACCCAUGACAUUUGUAACUGAGAGUUUGUACCUCUUAGUCUCCCUCACCUAUUUCUCUCCUCCCCCACCUGCCUUGCUGCUGGCAACCACCUGUUUGUUCUCUGUAUCUAUGACUCUGUUUCUCUUUACUUAUGUUUGUUCAUCUGUUUUUAGAUUCUACAUAUAAGUGAAAUUACACAGUAUUUACCUUUCUUUGUUUGACUUAUUUCACUUAGCAUAAUAUCUUCUAGGUCCAUCUAUGUUGUCACAAAUGGCAAGAUUUCAUUCUUUUUUUAUGACUAAUAUUCCAGUGUGUGUGUGUGUGUGUGUGUAUCACAUCUUCUUUAUCCAUUCAUCUAUUCAUGAGCAUUUAGGUUGUUUCCACAUCCUGGCUAUUGUAAAUAAUGCUGCAAUGGACAUAGGGUAUGCAUAUUUUUUCAAAUGAAUGUCUUCAUUUUCUUUGUAUAUAACCCCAGGAGUGGAAUUGCUGGAUUGUAUGGUAGUUCUAUUUUUAAUUUUUUGAGGAACCUCCAUACUGUUUGCCACAGUGGCUGCACCAAUUUACAUUUGCACAGAUUUCACGUACUUUCUUAAUCUCAU